CACAAAGGAGAACUUGGCUCACCAAUUGAGGCAGAUCCGGCCUUAAAGGAUAACCUGUCUGAAAUCCCACUUCUCCACCCAGGUUCUCCACCCAAGAUCCAAGACUCCUGACUUCAGCCAAGUGCCUUGCAGUUGUGACAGAAUUAUUAAAGAGCACGGGGAGUAUCUGGAAUUGGGCAACUGGUGUCUAGGAGCUGAACACACAGCUUAUUCCAGUGGAGAAGACUUUCUUAUACAUCCUUCCACUUGGGAGCCACAGUGAUUCUGAAAUAUUCUGCCAACUAUUCCAUGCUAUUGAAGGGUUUGGAGGUAUCCAGUACAAAUCCUUCAAACUCAGCCAAUUCCAGCAUAGACGGUUGACAGUCAACAUUACAUCUGCCCCAUUAACCAGACUUCUGACACAGUUCCAGCUACUGUUUCAAAAAGCAACUGGCUCCAAUUCCAGGAAAAUCAAUUGAUCCACAAGGCAGAUGGGAAUCUUCCAAGGAACUUCCAAAUGCAAUAAUUUCAGCCAGGUUCCCAGUCCUGCCUGGAAUGCAUGCUCCCCUGAGGCUGUAAUGUCAGCUUUCAUCAACCACACUCCCUCUUCACAACGGACUGGCUCCACCAACCACUCUAGGUUGGGUCAGAGCCUCACUGUAGCCUCAUUCCCAGAACCCACUGAUCCAAGCAAUGUGGGCCUGCCCGCCUCUAGGAAGAGGCUCAGAGUCUUAAGAAAUUCAGUCUGAGUGGUUAAGAAUCUGCCUGCCAAUGUGGAGGACAUGGGUUUGAUUCCUGGUCUUGGAAAAUUCCACAUACUGCUGGGCAACUAAGCCCAUGUGCCACAACUAAAGAGCCCACGCUCUGAGAGCCCACACUCUGCAACAAGAGAAGGCAUGCCCACGAGAAGCCGCAGCUGGAGAGUGACCCCUGCUUGCCACAACCUAGAGAAAGCCCUCGUAUAGCAACAAAGAUCCA